rnacentral:rRNA from 1 species
UUCGUAGGGGGCAAGCGUUAUCCGGAAUUACUGGGUGUAAAGGGAGCGUAGACGGUAAUGUAAGUCUGGAGUGAAAGGCGGGGGCCCAACCCCCGGACUGCUCUGGAAACUAUGUUACUAGAGUGCAGGAGAGGUAAGCGGAAUUCCUAGUGUAGCGGUGAAAUGCGUAGAUAUUAGGAGGAACACCAGUGGCGAAGGCGGCUUACUGGACUGUAACUGACGUUGAGGCUCGAAAGCGUGGGGAGCAAACAGG